GUUUACUAAACGGCUCAAUAUUUGUCACAAUUCUUGCCAGCUCCCUUUUGCUCUGUUUAUCCUGUACUGGUUCCUGGCUCAGUUUGGGGCUGAGGACACAACCCUGGAUGUGGGACCUCUGAGUGUCCAUUGUGGACUCAGAGAGGGUGGAUAAAUGAUGCUCUCAUCAACUGCUUCUCCUUUGCUACCUUCUCACUUCGUUCCCCAUGUCUGCACCGAGCUCCUUUCAGUAGGAAGAGAGUUGGGAAAUGAUGCAAUCCCUGUCCUGUCCUGUCCGCCCAUCCAAAAAUGUUGAGUGUAUCUAUGGCAAAAUGAUGCUGGUUUCAAUGAGCUAAAGUGAAAAGGAUAGAUGCUGGUUCGUUAUCUCUAAUUGCCUCACUUUGCAGCCCAGUCCUAGGCUAUCCAAUUGAGUAGACAGUACUUCUCUGUUUGGGGCUCUUUGGUCUUACAGUAAUCUUCUCGGAAUAGAACUUCUACGAUUCUUUCUCUGAAAUAAUAAGGUUUAAGGCCACAUCUGUGAAGAUAUAGCAGAUAGCUCAUUUCAACAGGAAUUGUACGUGAAGGGCCUUUAAAAAUCUCUUCCUGAAGGUCUGCUAAUGAAACAGCCCUGAGAUCUCAAGGGCCAGGGAGAGAAACAGGUGAUAAACAUAACACAGCUGAUAACAUUGAGGAUUCAAAGUGAUCCUCAAUUAGUGGGGCACCAGGUGUUCCAAAGGAGCUACAUAAAAGACGAUGUGGAAAGAGAAGGAGAGGGAGGGUGUUGGAGAGUGUGCUUCUGGUUUGCUGAGGCUGGAGAUCUGCUUUGGAGCAGGAGCUUGCCUCUCCAGCGAGGACUCACCACUUGGCUUGGCACUAUGGAAGCACUCUCAGCAGGUUCCCAUGGACACCAUCCCUCCGUCCCAUGCAGUGUUGCACCCAAACAGUCACAAGCAGCCAGCGCAGACACGGGUGAUGCCCACCCAGCCUGCCAGAGCCCUCCUUGUGGCUGGAACAAACGUGACCUUGAUCCGUGGGUUUGGUUCCAAGUCCAACACCCUCCGCCAACACGUGGCUGUCGUUAAACAGAAUGGUUACAGCUCCCGGGAAGGAUGGGGCUGUGUGGCUCAGCUCCUCCCCAGCCACGUGGUGGUGACAUUUGUCAGCUCGGUGUCCCUCAGGGCAGAGCUGCGGCAUUCCCCGUCGCGGUGCCACCACGGGCUGUGCUCCUCAGAGCCGUUGGCCUGUGCCCUGUAGGACAGUGCUGACAUGUCAAGCUCAAUAAGUUCAAAGGCUCCUCGUGUUUAAUAACUGCGGAGUGACCUUGCAAGCCACUGUGAGGAGGGCAGGGAGUUGUUCCAGCCUGACAAAGCAGGUUUUCUGGGCUGGCCAGCUGAAGCAGUGUGUUUCUCCCCAGAGAAGCCUCGUUUGACCUCAGUUCUGUCUCCUUGAGUUAAGUCAGCCUGGGCAACGUCCCCCACAGCCCCUCUCCCUGUCUCCGUCCUGCUGCUUGCAUCAUCCCUCUUGCAGCUGUUGGUGGUGACGGCCCUGCUUGCUGCUCCCCUCCGGCCAGGAGGUGCUCCAGGCUACGCUGGGGGAGAUGCUCCUAUUUUCAGAGGUGUCUGUAACCCUCUCAGGGCAACAGCUUUCUUCCUGUAAGAGCUGUGAGGUCUGGAGCUUUGAAAAUGCUUUUUUUUUCCUCUUCCAAAACGCUCCCUGAGCAAGCUGAAUGCACAAGGAAGAAUGUAGGUGUUCAAGAUGACCUGACGUUACUCCAUCUUCUCCUUUGUAAUUCUGUUUGCAGAGAUGCAUUUGAAAAUGUAACUGCUGCCACAAUAGAUUAAAUUAUGUUUCCUAUUCUUUCUGUUAAUGGGGUGGUGUGAAAAAGCAGUGCCUCCGCUGACAGUGCUAAAUGGAAGAAAAGAAGACAAAUAUCCAAGUACGUUCUUCUUAAUUCGUAGCCUUCACCUCUGGCUGCUUCUUGCUAAUGCAUCGAGGUCCAGGAACUGUUUGGGAGAUCUGGGAUGCUGAACCCAUCCUUCUGGUCCAGUUCCAGAGGCAGCAACAGGAGUUACAUGGAACAGCCUUUAGUUGGGAAAUGGCAGCUUAUCGUCGUGCUUCAGGUGCAUCUCUACCACCCUGUGCUUCCUUCACCAUCAACUUUCAUAAUCAGCCAAGGAGAUUUCUGGCUCGGAGUAGUUAUUUAAUUGAGUGUCUCUGAAAUCUUCAGAGGGGACCAUCAGAAGUGAAAAAAAAAAUUGAUGCUGUAGAGUCUUGAGUAAGCUCCAUCUGUCAUAUCUGGCCUUUUACUGUUUUAAUACCACUGAUGAUUCCAGGCAAAUGCUAUUGAAUUUCUGUGGUCUAAUUAGCCAACGACUUCAAAUCCGUCUCAUUGUAAAAAGCAAUAAACAGGUUCCACCCACUUAGCUAUUGCUAAGU
ensembl:lncRNA